GCGGCAGGUAGGGCCGGGGAGCUAGCCCUUCCCUGUGACCCGAAAUGGGCUACACGCGGGGGCCAGUAACCCGAGAAGGCGCCUGAGAGGAGGAAAGCACGGCAACGGAAAAGGAGGGAUGAAAACGCGCCCACGCAGGGUCCCGUAGGAAGCCGACCCAUCCGUAAGGAUGGGCAACGGCUUCCGAGCACGCCGAACCGCGUCAGGCCCGGGAGGGAGCAGCGCUAAGGCGUGGCGGGGCCGCUGCGUGGAUCCGUGUUGGACUUCCUGCCGUUGUUUCGGCUUUCCUCCUCCUGGCCACUUCUCGGGGGCUGCCGC
rnacentral:SRP_RNA from 2 species